rnacentral:tRNA from 1 species
GAGGGUAUAGCUCAGUGGUAGAGUGCGUGCUUAGCAUGCACAAAGUCCUGGGUUCAAUCCCCAGUGCCGCCA